GUCUCUUGGGAGUUGGACAUGCCUGUUUUAUAGCGUCUCAUGUGCUCUCUGCAGAGAUUGAGGAGGUGUCAGUUUCAAAAUGAGAGAAUGCUACAGUUCUACCAUCCUGUGAAGGGGUCAUUCUUGCUUGGAGCGCUUGUGAAACCUUCAGAAUUGAUCUUUAUGCCUGAGGCAGUACUUAGAGGCAGGGAGUUCCAAUCCUCUUUGGAGAUUUGGAUCAUGUGGUUCCAGAGGGAAGGCUGUAGCUGCUAUGAAGUAGCUAUAAAAAGGAUGCACUAGAGGGAUUUGCUUUUAGCAAAGAGUGAGGACUUCAUUGCCAUUUCCCCCCAAGACCCCUUGCACCUUAGGAAGAGUCACACUGAUUUAACCUUGUGAGGAUCAAGAAUUGUAGUGAAACUGGGAUAUAGAGUUCCUAGCUAAACACUGACCUUUGCCUAACCAAAGUCAUGAAGACCUGUUACCAAUUCCUUCUGGCCAUUGCCUUAAUCCUUUCAGCUGAUCCAGUCUUUGCUCAGAUAAUAAGCGAGGAAGAAUGCAAUUCCUUUGGUGGCGUCUGCAAAGACAGCUGUGAGUUUGGUUAUCAUGACUUUGGAGAAUGCAGUACGACACGUUGCUGCGUAAGAUUUCAAUUUGGAUGAUGGGAUCCAUCUCUGCUGCCACUUGGCUUGAAGAUUCAUCAGCUCCUACCUGAACACCAGCGUUAUCCAGGAAUCGUUUUCCCACCACCACCACCAGCAGCUGAAGGACCAUAAAAGCAUGUUUGGUGUAAAACCUUCAAAGACCAUGUGUUAAUAAAAAAUAAAAGCUAUAGUGCAG